AUUCAUUCAUUUACUGUCAAAUUUCUUAAUGAACUGCUAUUGACAGAUGAUUAAAAUUCAAUCCCAGAAAUGUUCUGGGCCUUUGAAAGGUGUGUCCUACGGGCCCGAAGAAGGGGCUGUGACCAGAUGGUGGUUCUGCACUUGUAGGUAGGGUGUGGUCCUUGUUUGCGGUGAAUCUCUGGGAGCGUGGCAGUUUCUCUCGUGUGUCACGUUCUCCCUGUGUCUGCAUCCAGAGUGGCCGCAGUCCCCAGGGGAUGAAGGGUGCACCUAUUUCUUUAAAUUUCCAUGGUGGGUUGAAACUGCUCCUUGAGAUUUUAAAAUAUGCUUCACGGUCCCCAUGGUGUCAGGUAGCUAGUUUAUGGGUCCCGUCCUGGUUGUGAUAACUCAGGCUAAGCUGGAUAAUAAACGAAAGUGGGACAGAGCUGCAGGAUAAAUAUUGCUACAGGACAUUUCCAGCGGCACAAAUCACAGGGAAAAUAUCUCCCAGGCUUUUCAUUUCUCCUCUUCCUGCCUGGCCCUCUGGUAGCAGCCAGCAAAGCAGGAUCCAUCCGUCACCCUUCCCCCGCCCCCACCCCAGCCUCAGCUCUCAGUGCACUGCUGGGGAGCGAGGGAUGCAGAUUGGUCCUGGUGCAGGUGGCCCUCUCUGUCUGGUGGCCCUCUGUCUCCCUGCCCAGCUCUGGAGUCAGCCCCGGGGAGCCGGGAUGGCCAGGGUCAUGCUGUUUUCAGUUGUGGACGAGUGCUUAGCUUUGCAGACCUGAUUCUUUAUCUCUAAAACGAGAGACAUUAAUAACUGGUGGUUCUUAGUCUGGCGCGAUUAGGUGCUCGUGUCACUCACCGGGGGAACUUAAAAGCCGCUUGCUGAGUCCCACCCUAGCGCAUAGAGUCACGACCGCGGGGGUCUGGUCUGGGGUGUUUUCACUGACGUUCGGUGGCCCCUGCCAGCGGGGCUUCCGAGGCCCACUCCUGGCCAAGAGCCACUCCUGGUACAAGUGAGGACUGAGAUGGGCGAUGGGGCGGUCAGUGCGAUGGGCCAUUUCGUUGACCUGCUCUUGUACUAGAUCCAUCAGCACUGUCACUUAGCGAGGCUUUCUUCAGCUUUGGAGGCAUGCUGGCUUCGUAAUCAGCAUCAACCUGUAGGUGCUGAUUGAGCCUGCGGGGAAUACCAAGCACGUAGGCCUGGAAAGGUAACUAACCGCACGCGGCAGGCGAGUCUAUUAAACAGAGAGGCUGGUCCCGGUGUAGGUUGUUACCACCGCUGGGCCCUCCCACCACCUGAUCUUGAAGCAUUCUCAGCGGUUUCUCUCACUCCAUGCCCGGGUUCUGCUGACUGUGCCUCUGCGUUGUCUCCGGAUGCCACUUUCCCAGUUCAGGUGCUCAAGGCGUCUUACCUGAACAUUACCGUAGCUUCCUGACAAGUCUCCUCCAAGCUGUCCUUUGCUGUCCUGCAGAGUGGCUGUGCCCACUGACCUGGUCGGCUGUGCCUGGUCCGCUGUGCCUGGUUGGCUGUGCCUGGCGUGUGGAGGAUGCUCACUGUGCCCGGGUGGAUGAGUUCAGUGGUUCCCUGUCUUCCCGAGGAAACCCCAGAGUCUGUGUGGCUGCAGCCCUGUCUGUGGCCCUCACGAGCUGUAUGACCACCCGCUAGACUCUUCUCGUGCUUUCUUGAUUCUGCCACGUCCUUGCCGUCCGCUGGGUCUCGCCUGUGCUAUUUGCUCUCCCUGCAAUGCCCUUUCUCCUCCCUCUGCCAGGCAGACUGUACUCACCCGCUGGGUGCAGUGCAGGUACUCUCACAGGACACCUCCUCAUCUAUGCCCAUACUGGCAUUCUAGCACUUACCACAUGCUUGUGCUGUUGAAAAAGUUUGUUUUUAAUUUUUUUAUUUUUAGACAUGAGGGCCAGGCUGGAGUGCAGUUGCAUGAUCAUGGCUCACUGUAGCUUUGACCUCCUGGGCUCAAGUGAUCCUCCAACCUCAGCCUUCCAAGUACUUAGAACUACAGGUGGACACCACCAUGCCUGGCUAAUUUUUAAGUUUUUGUAGAGAUGGGGGUCUUGCUAUAUUGUCCCUGGUCUUGACCUCCUGGUCUCAAGCGAUCCUCCUCCUCGGCCUCCCAAGUUGCUGGGGGAUUACAGGUAUUAGCCACUGUGCCUGGCUCUCUCGUUUGUUUAAAGAUCUCUCUCUCUCCUUUCUGUCUUCCUCCCUCCCUCCCCCCCUCCUCCUUAAAAUUAUAAGCUGCUUGAAAACAGGAACCAGCUGAGUUGAGCCCAUAUACCAAGUGAAGUGCUUAGCAGAUCUCUGCCUGAUAAAUGUUCGUUGAAUGACUACAGCGUGGUGUAAAGAAUGUGGACCAGGAAGGGAUGUUUGUAUUUGUUGUGUUCUGACCUUGUUAGAUGACCCUGAAUACAUUCAUUUAUCCCCC
rnacentral:sRNA from 1 species